UACGGGGGGGGUAAGCGUUGUUCGGAAUUACUGGGCGUAAAGGGUUCGUAGGUGGCCUGCUAAGUCAGACGUGAAAUCCCCAGGCUCAACCUGGGAACUGCGUCUGAUACUGGAUGGCUUGAAUCCGGGAGAGGGAUGCAGAAUUCCAGGUGUAGCGGUGAAAUGCGUAGAUAUCUGGAGGAAUACCGGUGGCGGAGGCGGCAUCCUGGACCGGCAUUGACGCUGAGGAGCGAAAGCCAGGGGAGCAAACAGG
rnacentral:rRNA from 1 species